AGCCUUAUAGUCAAUUAUGAUUUUAAAUUGCAAAUUUAAAGGUAAAUUAAAUUUUAAGGCUU
rnacentral:tRNA from 1 species